rnacentral:rRNA from 1 species
CUUUUCCUCCCCACUCUCGCCCCCUCCUCGCUUGAAGCCGUCGCCCGAGCUCUGUCAUCACCGUCUCCGUGUCGAUCCCGCGGCCACCGGCCAUCCCUCGUCGCCGCACCAUGUCGAGGAGCACCGACGUCCUCUUCUUCAUCGACUGCAAGCGCCGAUUCCAGCUGGAGCCCCUCUGAGCCGUCGCAAUCGUCGUCUCCGUCGACUACAUCCACCACUGUCGUCGCUCGAUCUACCGCCGUCGACGCCUCCCCGACCCUCUCCGGCCUCUCCCUGGCUCGGUGAUGCUGGAGCCCAGGAGCCAGACGCCACCGUCGACGACGACUCUUACUACACUGGAGGUGCCUACUACUACGAGCAGGCCGCUGACGACGACCAGGAGUAGUUUAGGAGGAUCCCAGGCAGGAGGCAUGCGCCUCUUUCGAUCCGUAUCCCAGUUUGUGCUAGCCUUCUUAAGGCAAAUUUGUUUAAUUUAUGUCUGUACUAUGAUAUUGUUGCUUCGCUGACUCGUCUAUGAUCGAGCAUUUGUAUUCGAGCCCUCGAGGCCCCUGACUUGUAUUAUGAUGCUUGUAUGACUUAUUUAUGUUGUAG